GAUUGAACUCAAGGGGAAUAGGGGAUUUUCUCACCAAACUCUACUCUACUCUGUUGUUGGCUUGUGGCUUCUUCAUCCAAAGGAGGGACUGAUGAAACCGUAUAGGUGAAGAAUCCAUUGUUGGAGGGAUCAACAAACUCCCCGGUGUAUAGAGCAAGCAAUUUGCGUUGAGUAAGAUGUUUCGAAAGAGCUACAGAGAGCAAAA